rnacentral:rRNA from 1 species
GAUGAACGCUGGCGGCGUGCCUAAUACAUGCAAGUCGAGCGAACGGACGGGAGCUUGCUUUUCUGAUGUUAGCGGCGGACGGGGGAGUAACACGUGGAUAACCUACCUAUAAGACUGGGAUAACUUCGGGAAACCGGAGCUAAUACCGGAAAAAAUUUUGAACCGCAUGGUUCAAAAGUGAAAGACGGGCUUGCUGUCACUUAAAGAUGGAACCGCGCUGCAUUAGCUAGUUGGUAAGGUAACGGCUUACCAAGGCAACGAUGCAUAGCCGACCUGAGAGGGUGAUCGGCCACACUGGAACUGAGACACGGUCCAGACUCCUACGGGAGGCAGCAGUAGGGAAUCUUCCGCAAUGGACGAAAGCCUGACGGAGCAACGCCGCGUGAGUGAUGAAGGUCUUCGGAUCGUAAAACUCUGUUAUUAGGGAAGAACAUAUGUGUAAGUAACUGUGCACAUCUUGACGGUACCUAAUCAGAAAGCCACGGCUAACUACGUG